rnacentral:rRNA from 1 species
CUUUCGCCCGCCGGCGACCGGCGCACGGGUGAGUAACACGUAUGCAACCUGGCCGCCACAGGGGGAUAACCCGCGGAAACGCGGCCUAAUACCCCGUGACGCCACCGGAGGGCAUCCUCCGGUGGCCAAAGGAGCGAUCCGGUGGCGGAUGGGCAUGCGGCGCAUUAGCUAGACGGCGGGGUAACGGCCCACCGUGGCGACGAUGCGUAGGGGUUCUGAGAGGAAGGUCCCCCACACUGGUACUGAGACACGGACCAGACUCCUACGGAAGGCAGCAG